UGGCCUCAUUUUCAUCUUCUGAGGAUACCAGGAUCUGUAGAUCUCCAGAUAACCAUUAGAUAGCAGCAAAAUAUCUAUUUUUUUUUCCAUAGCUCUAAGUUGCCAUCCAGUGGUCUGUUUUCUCAAUCCCCAAUCCAGCAGAGGUUAAUUGGAGUGAAGAUGAGAAGAAGAAAAAAACUUCCUAGCCAACACUGGUGUCUCAUCACGGACAAGGCAAAAUAAAGAAGAAAGUCAAGUACUACCCUUUCGUGACUAAAAUAAAUCCUUGCUUAAUUCUGUACAAUACUGAAUUAGUAAAUAAAAAAAAUAUGAACUCA